GCCCCCGCUCCGGGGUGCACGUAUGGCGUGCUGAGAUGGCGAACCUGAUCGCCGGAACCGCGAACUUGAUCUGGGUCAUACCAGCGUAAGAAGAGCUGCAGUGCCGUGG
rfam:Pseudorhodoferax sp. Leaf274 contig_9, whole genome shotgun sequence.